UACAGAGGGUGCGAGCGUUAAUCGGAAUUACUGGGCGUAAAGCGUGCGUAGACGGCUAUCUAAGUCGGGUGUGAAAGCCCCGGGCUCAACCUGGGAAUUGCAUUCGAGACUGAAUAGCUAGGGUGCGGUAGAGGGAAGCGGAAUUUCCGGUGUAGCGGUGAAAUGCGUAGAUAUCGGAAGGAACACCAGUGGCGAAGGCGGCUACCUGGACCGGAACUGACGCUGAUGCGCGAAAGCGUGGGUAGCAAACAGG
rnacentral:rRNA from 1 species